rnacentral:tRNA from 33 species
GGAAGGGAUGCAUGCCCGGUGGCAUGUCCGGACUUCAAAUCCGGGAGGGGCCGAUAGACGGUCUUUGGUGGGUUCGACUCCCAUUCUCUUCCGCCA